rnacentral:rRNA from 1 species
GACGAACGCUGGCGGCGUGCUUAACACAUGCAAGUCGAACGGAAAGGCCCUGCGUUUGUGGGGUGCUCGAUUGGCGAACGGGUGAGUAACACGUGAGUAACCUGCCCUUGACUUUGGGAUAACUUCAGGAAACUGGGGCUAAUACCGGAUAGGAUCUCCUGCUCCAUGUGGUGCGUUGGAAAGUUUCGGCGUUUGGGGAUGGUCUCGCAGCUUAUCAGCUUGUUAGUGGAGUAGUGGCUUUCCAAGGCUUUGACGGGUAGCCGGCAUGCGAGGGUGACCGGCCACAUUGGGCCUGCGAGAGGGCCCAGAAUCCUACGGGAGGCAGCGGUGGAAAAUAUUGCAGAAUGAGCGGACGUGUGAUGCAACGGUGUCGCGUGCGGGAUGACGGCCUUCGGGUUGUAAACAGCUUUCGACGGAGACGAAGCGUGAGUGACGGUAAUGAAUAAAGAAGCACCGGCUAACUACGUG